AACGAACGCUGGCGGCAUGCCUAACACAUGCAAGUCGAACGAGACCUUCGGGUCUAGUGGCGCACGGGUGCGUAACGCGUGGGAAUCUGCCCUUGGGUUCGGAAUAACAGUUGGAAACGACUGCUAAUACCGGAUGAUGACGUAAGUCCAAAGAUUUAUCGCCCAAGGAUGAGCCCGCGUAGGAUUAGCUAGUUGGUGAGGUAAAGGCUCACCAAGGCGACGAUCCUUAGCUGGUCUGAGAGGAUGAUCAGCCACACUGGGACUGAGACACGGCCCAGACUCCUACGGGAGGCAGCAGUGGGGAAUAUUGGACAAUGGGCGAAAGCCUGAUCCAGCAAUGCCGCGUGAGUGAUGAAGGCCUUAGGGUUGUAAAGACUCUUUACCCGGGUAUGAUAAUGACAGUACCGGAGGAAUAAGCUCCGGCUAACUCCGUGCCAGCAGCCGCGGUAAAGUG
rnacentral:rRNA from 1 species